AUGCUCUCAGGGUCCCCCACUCUAGUGUCUGAAUCCAGGAAGUUUAUCUUUACCAGGAAUGGUUUAGUGGCCUGGCAUCGCCAGCUAUUUUGGCAGCAUUCUCCCAGCCACCCAAAGCCACCACACCUUUCUUUGGCGAGCAAUCCUGGGCUUUCUUGGGUUCAAUUUCCCUGCCACCUGUCCAAGGAGCCACACCUUCUGGGGAAUGAGGAUGUUCAGUUUUAGAGCAGCAGAGCUCCAGGCUGCCCAGAAGAGGCUUAGUGGAAGACCAGCCCAUGGGCAAAGAGAGAUCUGAUCAGACUGGCCUCUAAGAAUAAUAGGGAUGCAAGAAGAGAGGGGGAAUGGCCCUAUAAGUGCAUGCAUUGCUGGCAGAAAUAACUGGUUUUCCAGCAUUAAGAAUUCACAGGAAGCAGAGUUAAGAUUUCCGAGUAACUCUAGUGGCCAGAACCUGGCACUUGCUUCUUGUACCCAUAGUCUGGACUCGUCCUGAAGCCUACAAGUACCCAGUCAACAGAGUGGGGAGGAGGCCUGAGAGAAAGUGUCAGUGCAAUAGGGAGGGAAUUCUCUGUGUGCCACAGUAUCAAAUAUUAUCUCUUUAACCAGCCAGUCCAGUUAGAAGUCAUUUUAAAUCAAAGGGAUUAAUGUUGCCCUUCCAAUAACAGCCAUGCAAUGGCCUAUCGUGUCUAACAUGAGUGUGGUUUAUUAUAGAUAGAAGUCAUCUUUUCCUUGUGCUGUGUUGAAUUUAUUUUGUCACUCAAAAUCCAUUCUAGAGGAGCAGAGAAAUCCAGUUCCGGCUUUAUCCUCUUCUCAGGAGUCAUAUGUAGAAUCCAUUCCAGCUCUUCUAGAAAUCCAGUUUGGGCUCCAUUCUUCCCCUCUCAAGUGCAUUUCCAGGCAGCAGUGGCUAGAGGGUUAAAUGAGGAUCACCUGCUCUGCAGACAAUGCUGUGGAUUUGGGGCCUGAGGGGGCUGAGCACUCCUAGCCCCCAAGGAUGUUGCUCAGAAGGUGUGCAAUACCGUACAGGAGAGCACCAGGCCUUUCAGUAGCAAACACACAGCGCCCCUCAGCAGAGAGAUUGGGUCCAGAAUGGACAGGGGCACUUGCAAUGCAUCCUAAGUGCUAGGUGGGGAGACAGUAUCUUGCAACCAGCCCACUGUGUUCCAUUCCCUUCUCAGUCACUGAAACCAAACUCAUCUCCUGCCUGUUACACCAAUGCUGAAGUCGGAUGGCACCUGGCAGGACCGAGAGACAAGCUCUGCCCUGUCCUGUCUUUAUUUAUUUAUUACCAGAGGCUGUAAACAGCAGUGCUUUUUUACCCUCUUUCUUUUCCUUUCUUUUGUACUUUGGAACAACGUGUUGUAAUAAAUGCCCA
rnacentral:lncRNA from 1 species